rnacentral:rRNA from 1 species
GAUGAACGCUGGCGGCGUGCCUAAUACAUGCAAGUCGAGCGAAUGGAUUAAGAGCUCGCUCUUAUGAAGUUAGCGGCGGACGGGUGAGUAACACGUGGGUAACCUGCCCAUAAGACUGGGAUAACUCCGGGAAACCGGGGCUAAUACCGGAUAACAUUUUGAACCGCACGGUUCGUAAUUGAAAGGAGGCUUCGGCUGUCACUUAUGGAUGGACCCGCGUCGCAUUAGCUAGUUGGUGAGGUAACGGCUCACCAAGGCAACGAUGCGUAGCCGACCUGAGAGGGUGAUCGGCCACACUGGGACUGAGACACGGCCCAGACUCCUACGGGAGGCAGCAGUAGGGAAUCUUCCGCAAUGGACGAAAGUCUGACGGAGCAACGCCGCGUGAGUGAUGAAGGCUUUCGGGUCGUAAAACUCUGUUGUUAGGGAAGAACAAGUGCUAGUUGAAUAAGCUGGCACCUUGACGGUACCUAACCAGAAAGCCACGGCUAACUACGUGCCAGCAGCCGCAGUAA